rnacentral:rRNA from 1 species
AGAGUUUGAUCCUGGCUCAGGAUGAACGCUGGCGGCGUGCCUAAUACAUGCAAGUCGAGCGAACGGACGAGAAGCUUGCUUCUCUGAUGUUAGCGGCGGACGGGUGAGUAACACGUGGAUAACCUACCUAUAAGACUGGGAUAACUUCGGGAAACCGGAGCUAAUACCGGAUAAUAUUUUGAACCGCAUGGUUCAAAAGUGAAAGACGGUCUUGCUGUCACUUAUAGAUGGAUCCGCGCUGCAUUAGCUAGUUGGUAAGGUAACGGCUUACCAAGGCAACGAUGCAUAGCCGACCUGAGAGGGUGAUCGGCCACACUGGAACUGAGACACGGUCCAGACUCCUACGGGAGGCAGCAGUAGGGAAUCUUCCGCAAUGGGCGAAAGCCUGACGGAGCAACGCCGCGUGAGUGAUGAAGGUCUUCGGAUCGUAAAACUCUGUUAUUAGGGAAGAACAUAUGUGUAAGUAACUGUGCACAUCUUGACGGUACCUAAUCAGAAAGCCACGGCUAACUACGUGCCAGCAGCCGCGGUAAUACGUAGGUGGCAAGCGUUAUCCGGAAUUAUUGGGCGUAAAGCGCGCGUAGGCGGUUUUUUAAGUCUGAUGUGAAAGCCCACGGCUCAACCGUGGAGGGUCAUUGGAAACUGGAAAACUUGAGUGCAGAAGAGGAAAGUGGAAUUCCAUGUGUAGCGGUGAAAUGCGCAGAGAUAUGGAGGAACACCAGUGGCGAAGGCGACUUUCUGGUCUGUAACUGACGCUGAUGUGCGAAAGCGUGGGGAUCAAACAGGAUUAGAUACCCUGGUAGUCCACGCCGUAAACGAUGAGUGCUAAGUGUUAGGGGGUUUCCGCCCCUUAGUGCUGCAGCUAACGCAUUAAGCACUCCGCCUGGGGAGUACGACCGCAAGGUUGAAACUCAAAGGAAUUGACGGGGACCCGCACAAGCGGUGGAGCAUGUGGUUUAAUUCGAAGCAACGCGAAGAACCUUACCAAAUCUUGACAUCCUUUGACAACUCUAGAGAUAGAGCNNNNNNNNUUCCCCUUCGGGGGACAAAGUGACAGGUGGUGCAUGGUUGUCGUCAGCUCGUGUCGUGAGAUGUUGGGUUAAGUCCCGCAACGAGCGCAACCCUUAAGCUUAGUUGCCAUCAUUAAGUUGGGCACUCUAAGUUGACUGCCGGUGACAAACCGGAGGAAGGUGGGGAUGACGUCAAAUCAUCAUGCCCCUUAUGAUUUGGGCUACACACGUGCUACAAUGGACAAUACAAAGGGCAGCGAAACCGCGAGGUCAAGCAAAUCCCAUAAAGUUGUUCUCAGUUCGGAUUGUAGUCUGCAACUCGACUACAUGAAGCUGGAAUCGCUAGUAAUCGUAGAUCAGCAUGCUACGGUGAAUACGUUCCCGGGUCUUGUACACACCGCCCGUCACACCACGAGAGUUUGUAACACCCGAAGCCGGUGGAGUAACCUUUUAGGAGCUAGCCGUCGAAGGUGGGACAAAUGAUUGGGGUGAAGUCGUAACAAGGUAGCCGUAUCGGAAGGUGCGGCUGGAUCACCU